rnacentral:rRNA from 1 species
CACGUAGGGUGCGAGCGUUGUCCGGAAUUAUUGGGCGUAAAGAGCUCGUAGGCGGUGUGUCGCGUCGGCCGUGAAAACCUGCAGCUUAACUGUGGGCUUGCGGUCGAUACGGGCAUCACUGGAGUCGGCAGGGGAGACUGGAAUUCCUGGUGUAGCGGUGAAAUGCGCAGAUAUCAGGAGGAACACCGGUGGCGAAGGCGGUGGUCUGGGCCGGCACUGACGCUGAGGAGCGAAAGCGUGGGGAGCGAACAGG